rnacentral:rRNA from 1 species
AUUGAACGCUGGCGGCAUGCCUUACACAUGCAAGUCGAACGGCAGCACGGGUGCUUGCACCUGGUGGCGAGUGGCGAACGGGUGAGUAAUACAUCGGAACAUGUCCUGUAGUGGGGGAUAGCCCGGCGAAAGCCGGAUUAAUACCGCAUACGAUCUACGGAUGAAAGCGGGGGACCUUCGGGCCUCGCGCUAUAGGGUUGGCCGAUGGCUGAUUAGCUAGUUGGUGGGGUAAAGGCCUACCAAGGCGACGAUCAGUAGCUGGUCUGAGAGGACGACCAGCCACACUGGGACUGAGACACGGCCCAGACUCCUACGGGAGGCAGCAGUGGGGAAUUUUGGACAAUGGGCGAAAGCCUGAUCCAGCAAUGCCGCGUGUGUGAAGAAGGCCUUCGGGUUGUAAAGCACUAUUGUCCGGAAAGAAAUCCUUGGCCCUAAUACGGUCGGGGGAUGACGGUACCGGAAGAAUAAGCACCGGCUAACUACGUG